rnacentral:rRNA from 1 species
GUGGGGAAUAUUGGACAAUGGGCGAAAGCCUGAUCCAGCCAUGCCGCGUGUGUGAAGAAGGUCUUCGGAUUGUAAAGCACUUUAAGUUGGGAGGAAGGGCAGUAAGUUAAUACCUUGCUGUUUUGACGUUACCAACAGAAUAAGCACCGGCUAACUUCGUGCCAGCAGCCGCGGUAAUACGAAGGGUGCAAGCGUUAAUCGGAAUUACUGGGCGUAAAGCGCGCGUAGGUGGUUCGUUAAGUUGGAUGUGAAAGCCCCGGGCUCAACCUGGGAACUGCAUCCAAAACUGGCGAGCUAGAGUAUGGCAGAGGGUGGUGGAAUUUCCUGUGUAGCGGUGAAAUGCGUAGAUAUAGGAAGGAACACCAGUGGCGAAGGCGACCACCUGGGCUAAUACUGACACUGAGGUGCGAAAGCGUGGGGAGCAA